rnacentral:rRNA from 1 species
GGAUUAGAUACCCUGGUAGUCCACGCUGUAAACGAUGCUAACUCGUUUUUGGGUUUUCGGACUCAGAGACCAAGCGAAAGUGAUAAGUUAGCCACCUGGGGAGUACGCUCGCAAGAGUGAAACUCAAAGGAAUUGAUGGGGGCCCGCACAAGCGGUGGAUUAUGUGGUUUAAUUCGAUGAUACGCGAGGAACCUUACCAAGACUUAAAUGGGAAUUGACAGAUUUAGUAAUAGAGCUUUCUUCGGACAAUUUUCAAGGUGCUGCAUGGUCGUCGUCAGCUCGUGCCG